rnacentral:rRNA from 1 species
GAAUACAUAGGGUAAAGAGGCAAACCCGGAGAACUGAAUCAUCUAAGUACCCGGAGGAAGAGAAAUCAAUUGAGAUUCCCUUAGUAGCGGCGAGCGAAAGGGGAACAGCCAGCAAUCUUUAUUCAUAAUGUUAGGGGAAUGGUCUGGAAAGGCCGGCGGUAGAAGGUGAUAGCCCUGUACCCGAAAACAUUUUGGAAGAACUAGGUUUGCAACAAGUAGGUCGGGGCACGUGUAACCUUGACUGAAUAUGG